rnacentral:tRNA from 1 species
GUGGUUGUAGCUCAGUGAUAGAAUAUGUGCUUAGAAUGCAUAAGGCCCUGGGUUCAAUCCCCAGCUUCCCCU